ACCCGUUCCAGUGCCUUGCCACCCAUAGUGAGAAACUUCUUCCUAACACCUAAACUAAAUGUACCCUCUUUAGGACUGAAGUCGUUACCGCCUUGUCCUAUUGAUGUACACCCUUGUAAAAAGUCCCUCUGCAGGUUUCUUAUAGGCACCCUUUCCGUACCGUGAAGUCUGCUAUAAGGUCUCCUGCAAAGCUGCAUGCUGACAAACGGUCUGAGAAGGUGAGGCGGUUGUCAGCCGGGUUGGUGUUGAAUAGCAAAGUAUUAUGGGGCUGCUUGGUUAAGCAUUUACCGUCUGUUUUGGAGGUGCUGUGUGGGCCACCUUUGGAAUGGGAUGAGCGUUUGAGGAGAGCUGUGGAUUAGCGAGGAGGAGCAUGGGGCUGAUGACUUCUCAUGAGCGCCAUGCUAAUUUUGUGUCUCUUGGUACCUUAGGUACAAUGAGUGACGACGGCCACAGGGUCUGACUUGGAAAUGAGUGGGGAAGCGAACACGGUGGUGCUUCUGAGGAGGGGGGAGUUGUGGAAGUAGUUGGUGUUGGCUGAUGGGAUGCUUACUCCUUUUUCUGGUUUGUGUUUAUGUUUUUUUCAUUGCAGAUUUUGAAGAGCAAUGUGUCCCCUUGAGGAAUAUCCCAGUUAGCCCGUGUGGUUUUGUGGAGGAUGGAUUUGGACCCACGUCCCUCUGAAAGCUAAGUUGAGGGACCAGGGCUGGCGAGAGGCUGGGAGGAGGGGACGAAGCUGGGAAUUGCAGGGAGGGGUUUUAAAGUUAGCGCAGGAGAGAGGGCUGUCCAGGAGCAGUCCUGUUUGGGCAGAUGAAGGGAGCGGGUUGCUUUUCAGCCCAAGACCAGCGUGUGCCGGGAAGGGCAGUACCGGCCUGUGUCCGUGGUGGUGUGUAGUUUGUGUAGUCUGUCUUCUGUACUUAGACCUUCCUCGGGUCUCGAUGUCCUCAUCACGCUUUGUGCCGGAGCAGCGCGGCAUGUGCUUCGGGCGCCGUCCCUAGGGUCUUGAAUGCCCAUACUCAAUGGCCUGGUGCCAGUCAGGUGCUUUUUCUUGCGUUCGGAGCCCUAAAGCGUGGAUCGGUCUCGGCAGGUUCCAGUCGGUCCUCUCUUGCGGUGUUCUUCUGGGCUGCAUCGGCAGCUCUGCUCUCUAGCUGUCCAUUUUCUCGGCCUGGGAUUUCUUCCCUGCAUCCUGAUGUCCUUAGGUCUUGACGCCAGGCUUGUUAAGCAUCCAUCGUCUGGGUUUUGACAGUGGCAUCUUGUAACGAGCCGUUCCGUUCGACUCUUGUUCUCGGGGUCUGCCGUAGAGCCUCCUGGCCUCGCGGUUGUGGCCCCGUAGGUCAUCUUGCCUGACAGCGCCUCCCAUCCGGGGGUCAUUCUUCUUGCCGAGAGUUUUCUCUCUCUGAAUCACCUUGUUGGUAGCGUUCCACGUCGUGAUGUUCUGCGCACGGGAGUGUUUGGCUUGGAGCUGCUCUGCCCGGGGAUGUAGAGUCAGGGGUAGGUGGAAGAGCGAUGAGUCUACAGGUGAAAUGUUGAUGUGCCUAGACCGUUUAGGCGAGGGUUGUACAGUCAUCUCGGCUCGAGUAGCCAUUGGCGGGCUGUGUGGGACAGCUGUGCUGAUAGUGUUUUACGGAGACGAUUGGAGCCGUGUGGCAGGGGCCGUUGAGGGGCAGUGAAGCGGAUUUGACUCUCUAAGGUGUUAAGUCUUGGACGUGAUGGGCUUAGAGUUUGGCCCUGGUUUUUUUUUUUUUGGUUGGUGGUUUUUUGUUGUUGUUUUUUUUUUUUUUUUUUUAAAUGGCAGGCUGUAGUUGGACUCCAGAUGGUCUUUGUAGACGGAAUCGAGACCUCUGGAGUUGUUAAGCUCUUGCUCUGCAUCCAGGUGAUGACAGGGCACGAGGUGCUUGAAGGAACCUUGCAUUUAGGUGACAUGGCUGCUAUGGAGGUUGGACUGUGACAUGUGGCACUGUGAAAGCUAAGUAUCAGGUUGAAAAUGCACGGAUGGUGGAGAUGAUGGUGUGUGUUGAAACAUUGGUGUAACGGAAGGGUAGUUUGUGGGGAGUUUGGAAGGAGGUUGGGCUCGGGCCAGGGUUUUUGCAGGUAGGGUGAUUUUUGAGUCCUCCGGUGCUGCAGGCACGGGGUGAUGGCCCUUUGAUGGUGGUGGGCAGUUGCAUGGAUGAGUUGAGUGUGAGGACUGGCAUGUAUGUGAUCUGAAUGAGUGGUGUGUUGUGAAUGUGUGUAACCUUGUAGGGUUAUGUGGUUUAGCCUUGUUAUGUUUUUUCCUUUCAGGUUGGAUGUAGAGUUGAUAUGUUUUUCAGGGAA